GUCUCAGUGGUUGUAGUGGUAGAGCACGCGUCCCCGGAUAGGAUGAAACGUGGGUUCGAUUCCCCUCCCGAGGUC